rnacentral:rRNA from 1 species
CUACGGGAUGCUGCAGUGGGGAAUAUUGCACAAUGGGCGCAAGCCUGAUGCAGCCAUGCCGCGUGUAUGAAGAAGGCCUUCGGGUUGUAAAGUACUUUCAGCGGGGAGGAAGGGAGUAAAGUUAAUACCUUUGCUCAUUGACGUUACCCGCAGAAGAAGCACCGGCUAACUCCGUGCCAGCAGCCGCGGUAAUACGGAGGGUGCAAGCGUUAAUCGGAAUUACUGGGCGUAAAGCGCACGCAGGCGGUUUGUUAAGUCAGAUGUAAAAUCCCCGGGCUCAACCUGGGAACUGCAUCCGAUACUGGCAAGCUUGAGCCGCGUAGAGGGGGGUAGAAUUCCAGGUGUAGCGGUGAAAUGCGUAGAGAUCUGGAGGAAUACCGGUGGCGAAGGCGGCCCCCUGGACGAAGACUGACGCUCAGGUGCGAAAGCGUGGGGAGCAAACAGGAUUAGAUACCCCCGUAGUC